GGGGCUGACUUGGAUUUCGACAGAUUUCUUGUCGCACAGAUAGCAUGCCAAGCGCUGCUUGUAAAACAGCAACAAAAAUAACUGUAAACAACACAGAUUACGCUCCAGCUUACGCUAAAGUUGCGUGAGUUAAUCUCCUUUUGGAGCUGGACUGAUUAGAAUUUCUAGCGUUUUAAUCACUCCAUAACCUUAAGCUAGACGCUUUUAAAAGGUGGUUCGCCUUUUAAACUAAGAACAAGAACUCUUGAAACUACCUCAAGGUUUUAGAAAGUUGGACCAGAGCUAGUUUUAAGGCUAAAAAACUAACCAAUUUUCUAAGCAUUGUAGAAGUUUGUGUUUAGGACAAGAUUUUUGGACUGGGGUUCGAUUCCCCACAGCUCCACCA
rnacentral:tmRNA from 1 species